GGGAGAAGGAAGGCAGGCGCAGAGCGCUUUCGGAAUGCUUUCCGACGAAUUGCCGCCGACCGUCAGGGAGGGGGCAUUACCUUGU
rnacentral:sRNA from 1 species